GUGCCUAAUACAUGCAAGUAGAACGCUGAAGAGAGGAGCUUGCUCUUCUUCGGAUGAGUUGCGAACGGGUGGGUAACGCGUAGGUAACCUGCCUUGUAGCGGGGGAUAACUAUUGGAAACGAUAGCUAAUACCGCAUAACAAUGGAUGACACAUGUCAUUUAUUUGAAAGGGGCAAUUGCUCCACUACAAGAUGGACCUGCGUUGUAUUAGCUAGUAGGUGAGGUAACGGCUCACCUAGGCGACGAUACAUAGCCGACCUGAGAGGGUGAUCGGCCACACUGGGACUGAGACACGGCCCAGACUCCUACGGGAGGCAGCAGUAGGGAAUCUUCGGCAAUGGGGGCAACCCUGACCGAGCAACGCCGCGUGAGUGAAGAAGGUUUUCGGAUCGUAAAGCUCUGUUGUAAGUCAAGAACGAGUGUGAGAGUGGAAAGUUCACACUGUGACGGUAGCUUACCAGAAAGGGACGGCUAACUACGUGCCAGCAGCCGCGGUAAUACGUAGGUCCCGAGCGUUGUCCGGAUUUAUUGGGCGUAAAGCGAGCGCAGGCGGUUUGAUAAGUCUGAAGUUAAAGGCUGUGGCUCAACCAUAGUUCGCUUUGGAAACUGUCAAACUUGAGUGCAGAAGGGGAGAGUGGAAUUCCAUGUGUAGCGGUGAAAUGCGUAGAUAUAUGGAGGAACACCGGUGGCGAAAGCGGCUCUCUGGUCUGUAACUGACGCUGAGGCUCGAAAGCGUGGGGAGCGAACAGGAUUAGAUACCCUGGUAGUCCACGCCGUAAACGAUGAGUGCUAGGUGUUGGAUCCUUUCCGGGAUUCAGUGCCGCAGCUAACGCAUUAAGCACU
rnacentral:rRNA from 1 species